UCGUUUGAAAAAGACUUAUUGCUUUUCAGAGGCAAAAUCAUAAUUUUACCAAACCCUGAUUUGAAAGCAUCAAGUGAUAGAACAAAAGAUUUGUGAUCCAUAGGUGAAAAUUUUAUAGUUUUUGGACAUGUAUUUUGAAAGAUAUUCAUGAUUGAAAAAUUUGAGUCGACCCCAUGAGUCGACUCAUGGCACAAUGAGCUGAUUGGCACAC
rnacentral:lncRNA from 1 species